UACGUAGGGUGCAAGCGUUAAUCGGAAUUACUGGGCGUAAAGCGUGCGCAGGCGGCUAUGCAAGACAGAUGUGAAAUCCCCGGGCUCAACCUGGGAACUGCAUUUGUGACUGCAUGGCUAGAGUACGGUAGAGGGAGAUGGAAUUCCGCGUGUAGCAGUGAAAUGCGUAGAUAUGCGGAGGAACACCGAUGGCGAAGGCAAUCCCCUGGACCUGUACUGACGCUCAUGCACGAAAGCGUGGGGAGCAAACAGG
rnacentral:rRNA from 1 species